UCCCCUCCGCCGUCCGGCGCCGUCCGCGCUCCGCCGCGCUGGCUCCGCCGGCGCCCUGAGACAUGGACCAAUCAGACGGGAUGUAGCACUGCAGGGCCUGAUGGGAUAUGUUCAGUCAUGGCAUCAGAGCUUUCUAAGACGAUCUCUGUGGCAAGGCAAGAAAAGCACAAGAAUUUGUUCCUAAAUUAUAGGAAUCUGCACCAUUUCCCGCUGGAGCUGCUGAAAGAUGAGGGGCUGCAGUACUUGGAGAGACUGUACAUGAAAAGGAACUCCCUCACAACCCUGCCAGAAAACCUUGCUCAGAAGCUUCCAAACCUUGUGGAACUGUACCUUCACUCCAAUAACAUAGUUGUGGUCCCAGAGGCCAUCGGGUCUCUUGUAAAGCUCCAGUGUCUGGACCUCAGUGACAAUGCCUUAGAAAUCGUUUGCCCGGAAAUCGGUCGGCUGAGAGCUUUACGACACCUUCGGUUGGCUAACAACCAGCUGCAAUUCCUACCUCCAGAUUUAGGUCGUUCCCGAGAACUCCAGUACGUGUACGUGGAUAACAACGUUCACCUGAAAGGCUUGCCGUCCUAUCUGUACAAUAAAGUCAUCGGGUGCAGUGGCUGCGGCGCCCCCCUCCACGUGCCCGAGGUGAAGCUGCUUUCCUUUUCCUCCGGGCAGCUGACCGUGUCCCUGCCGGCCGAGGUGAAGGCCAUCGGGACGGAGAGCGACCGCGUGCUGCCGCUGCAGGAGCUGGCCAUGAGACGGCUGCACCACGCGUACCACGGCCUGCGGAGAGAUUUGAACUUUCUGUCUCCAAUCUCAUUACCCAGAAGCCUCCUGGAACUGCUGCACUGCCCCCUGGGGCACUGUCACCGGUGUAGCGAGCCCAUGUUCACCAUCGUCUACCCCAAGCUCUUUCCCCUGAGAGAGACGCCCAUGGCCGGGCUGCACCAGGGGAGGACAGCCGUGAGCUUCGUGGCUUACUGCUGCUCCACUCAGUGUCUUCAGAGUUUCGACCUGCUGAGCUGAUCCCACGGCCCCGCCAGCUCCACACUGCGGCCACCUGGGGCUCACACGCCGCUGCAGCAGGGGCAGGAGAGUCCAGCCAGGCCGGACCAGCCCCUUCCAGCCUGCUCUGUCCAGCAUGGGUGCUGCGGAACUCUGGAAUUGUCGUGAUUGAGCUAAAACGCCUUCACCCUUCUCCGAGUCGGAAUAUAUCCUCCCUCAGACGAAGGAUCCCGGGUCUUCUGUGGUUUUUUCUGCUCAUCCACACGCUGGUUACUUUGAUGAGCCAUCCCAAAUCUAAUUUGAAACAAAUCUCGCUCAGCUCCCUACAGAGCAAUCAUUUGACAGUAUAGCCAGAUUGACUUUGGAACACACACACCUCCUGCAGACUUCUGCUCUCCGUCUUUCCCCAGAGGGCUCUUUCCCUAGAGGUCUUCCCCGGGCUUUCUCCUGCGGGAGCUUGCAGAAUGUCAGAGCCUACGAGCAAAGCCUGGGGCCUGGGUUCCACAGUCUGUAGAGGCAGGGCGGGAGCUGGGUCGGUGGCAGAGUGGGAGCGUGGGCAGGCUCCCCGAGGACCCUCAGCACACACCCUGCGCAGAGUCAACGUCUCUGAGCCUCGGAGACUUCUGUGAGGGAUUUCACAACAGAAAUGUGAUGGUAAUGAAAUACACUCUUUUCAAAGACGACAAAAACAGUGUCUGGGGAUUUUUUUUAUUUCUUCUCAGGAUCUUUUGUGUGUGAGAGAGAAAAGCUGGAGGAACACUUGAAGCUUUAAAAGAUCUGAUCCUUUUCUUUCUAGAUCUAAACAUUUUCCAGAUAAUGCAGGGGUGGGGAACCUUUCUCUUGCCAAGGGUCCAUUGGAUAUUUAUAACAUCGUUUGCAGGCCCCAGAAAAUGAUCAGCUUAGAGAUGAGCCUGCUGCAGAGUUAUUGAAUUCCGAGGCCUGCCUGCAGCUGCCACGGCAGAGCCAGAGCAGAUGGCCCUACAGGCUUUCGACAGACCCCUGCGUGAGAAACGCGGAGAAAACACACGUCAGAUUAAGCUCGUCCAUGUCUCGUGAGACGGAUCUGCGAUGGAACGUAUGCUGAAGUACUCUUGCUGCAUAUGAUAAGCAGGCUUCAGACACUUGUGCGACGAGAGUUUGGCAGGGGUCUGCGUGCAGCCUGCACACAUUUACAUACUUAGCAGUGCCCGACAUGGUCUGUGUUCAGAGCCUGGCCUCCUUACUUGGCACACUGUCGUCCAGCUACCCCUGAGGAAACACAGGGCCAGCAGGUCCACGGUCAGCCUUGGAGUCCUGGAGAGAAUCUGAACCGAGAGCCUGUGGGCCUGCACCUGCCAGGAAGCAGUGCCCGGGCCGAGGAGUCACGCCCUGGCUCUUCCUUCCGCAGGACAGUGUUGCGACGGAAUGACUCUUUUUAAAGCAUUUCUGUUACUUUAAUUCAGAGUUCUGUAAGGCACGACUGAAGGGAGACCCCAGGCCUACUCCAUGGAAGAAUUCUUUUCAAAGAAUUUCAGACUCCAGAAGUUUGGUUUGUGGUAUUUUACUCCCUGCCCUAACUGUAAGGCUGGACUCCCAUGGUGCCACAAAUCCUCUGUAGUUAGUGACCAAGGUGUGCGCUUUCUACUGUCGCACCCCUGCUGCCCGGAGGCAGGAAGUCGCCACGUGCCCCAGCUGCGUCUGCCCUGCUCUCUGUCGCUCCUGUCCCCUUCAUACUUGGUGUGUUCAGCCUUGACGUUGUAGAGACUUGGCGUAUACCAGGAACUGAAGGUCUGUCAUCCUGUGACAUAAUUAAAGUGGUGGCGUCCCCUCUGUGUGCGUGUAAGUUAGGGGAGAGAGAUGGGGCAUGAACCUUCACAGACCAGCUGCAGACCUCAGUGGCCGCCACCGAGCACCCAAGUGACAGGACAACACUGCUGCACCGCCCCCGUUGCCGCGACAGCCGUACAUCUGGCGCUGUGCCACGUGCUGAGCUAACAUGCCCACUGCAGGAUGUCCUGCAAGCAUUUUGCUUUCAGGUUGUUGAAAUUUUACAGAGAUGCUUACCGUCCAGGCAUCGUCUCUCUGCCUAAUAUAACCCAGCAGGGCCUGGCCAGGUAACCCCGGGCAGCCUCCACCUUAAUGCCCGGCUGUGGCACCUGAGCUUCCCUGGGGAGACUGGAACUUAGAAUGCAGCUUCCCUGGUGCUGUGCUUUAAGGAAAUUUCCUGCUGGGUCCACAGACGUCAUCCCUAACCUUUGGUGAUGAUCAAGCAUCGGUGUCAAGUGGAGAAAAUGUGCCCACAUGGCUGUGUAUUUGAUUGUGUCCAAAGCAUUCCAGAAAAACGAAACAAAAGUUGUAAAGAAUCUGUUGCUUUCCGGAGCAACAGUUAUGCUGGGUAGAAAAAGCCUUCAUGCAGUAAUAGGGAUGCGAAGAAGAGGCCCUUGGAAAGUGGACUGUCCAGGUCAAACGGCGUCAGUGAGCUCACGCACGGUGAGUGGGAAGCUUUCAGAUCAAGACAGCGUCACGAGCGCGGACCUCCUGUGCCCGUGGGGUCCAUCUCCAUGUUGUUCUGUGCAGGCCAAAGGUUGCACUGUCCAUUAACGCGCUUUCUGUGGUGAGUGCUCAGAAGGUCCCCGGCUGGCGGAGGACCGUGGGGGCCUCCCGUCUGGCCCUGGCCCUCCUCUCCCGGGAGCGAGGGGUGCGGGAAACAUCCGCUGGCCAGCACGCUGCGCACUGAGACCUUUGCGUGGCGGCUCGGCGGGGCAUGCCCAUCUUUUUCAUGUUUCAUGUUGCAGGUCACAAAUUCCAGUGUGUACGGCCUAAGCGGAAGGCUUCCACACCAGCUGGCUUUGAGGCCCAGCAUCGUUUUCUCUGGGAUAUAAACUAUUUUGUAAUCUCUGGGGACCUUCAAAGCCAGUUUUUUUAAAUUGCUAAUAAACCUAGGUUUCUCUUUCCUGACUUGGAGAAGCAGGCGUGUUUGCUGAGGCUGCAGAGCUCAGGGCCCCGCACUGUGCCAGCAGGCAGCAGAACCCUCGCGUGCAGAGGAUUUGUGAGCGUGCAUUCCUGAGUGGGCCAACACCGACGCACCGCAGGGUGGUUAAAUACUGAGAUGGAGUUCACCUUGUGGACUUGAGCACAUGCACUCUAGGAGUUCUCUGACGUGUCCCCACACAACUUUACCAAGCUCUGGCCUUUGUGAUCUCUCAUUCCUGCUCGCCCCUAAGAGGGGGCUCGCCAACAUUUCUCCUGGAACUCAGAAGUUUGAAAAGCUCUGACAUCCCGGGAGCUGCAUGGUCGUGUGCGCCUGCCAGGGGUUGUGGUCCUGCUCAGUGAAACCACAGACCUCUCGGGGUGACCUUGAGGCGCUGCCCUGGAGGAACGCGAAGCGAGAGAGUGUCGCCGCCCUCUCCACUGAGUGUUGAAGAUGCUGUGUGCACACAGCCGUCUGCAUGGACCACGAGGCUUCCUGGUUUCAAUUAAGGAAAUCUUUGUAUGAUUCUUAGCUGGCCGCUGAACUACUCAGGCAGGGACUUAAGUAUCUAUGCAUUACAAAGAAUACCAACCUCAGAAUUAAUUCCAAAAGCCACUAAAUAAACAGCAAAUACAGCCAAACCUUGGCAUGAAGGUGAGUAAUAUGUUUUCCAGAAUUUACCACAUUAUUCUGUAAAAUGCCCUAUUUUCCACCAAAAAAAAAAAAAAAAGACAUGCAAAGAAAUAAAGUAUGGGGACGUGUGCCACUGGCACCCAGUUCGUGUCCCCGCUGCUCCACUCACCAUGCCAGCUUCCUGAUGAUGGCCUGGGGGAAGCAGCAGAAGAUGGCCCACGUGGCUGGGCCCCUGCGCCCACCUGGGGCACCUAGAUGGGGCUCAGGGCUCCUGGCUGCUGGCUCUUGGCCUUGGUGUGGCCCAGUGUUGGCUUUUGCACCCAUAUGUGGGGAGUCCACCAGCAGAUGGGGGCUCUUUCUCUCUGUUCCCCCCCCCAUAAUUCUUUCAAAAUAAAUUUUAAAAUCUCAAAAAAAUUAGGUCCCAGACAUGAGGGGAAAAAUAUAUAAUGUGCACCUGGGGAAGUCCAGUAUUAGACUUUUAGACAAAGACACAAAUCAGCUGUUUAAAUAUGUUCGGAGAACAAAAGAAAAUGUGUAAAGAACAAAGUAAAAAAUGACAUAUCACCAAGUAGAAAAUAUUGAUUGAAAAGAAAGUCUUUUAAAGAGAACCAAAUGUAAAGUUUAAAGUUGAAAAUCUAAUAACGGAAAUGAAGAAUUCAGGAGGAGGUGCUCAACCGCAGAUUUGAGCAGGCAAAAGAGUCAACAGACGUGAAAUAGAUCCAACGGAGAUUGUCCAGUCUGAGGAACAGGAACAAAGAAUGAGUACGGCCGCAGAGACGUGUGAGAUGCCCCGGGCACAUCAGUAUAUGCACAGCAAAGUCCCAGAGAGGAGGAGAGAGAGAGGCAGGGAGAACAGCUGAAAACUGCAGUGUGGUGAAGACCACAGACACACAGCCGGGAGGCUCUGAGAUGAUGCCAGACAGAUGACCCACAACAAGAGCUGGAGGACAAGAGGAAACCUGAUGAGUUUGACUCUAGGAUAAAUACUGAUACUAGAAAGAAGGAGACCGCGUAAUAACAAAGGGGCCGAUCCAUCAAGAAGACCUGGCCACAGAGCUCCAAUGCAAGAAGCAAAAAAUGACAAAGUUGAAAGAAGUGGCUCAACAAUAACUGUUGGUGGCACUCAUGCUAUACUUGCAAUAACGGGACAAAACGUAGAAGACUUGGACAAACCUGAAGCCCUAACACACGCUGUCGAUCACCCCACAGUAGCAGAAUGCACAUCUUCCAGACACAUGGAACACUGCCCGGGCUGCACCGUCAGGUCACUAGACAAACUCAGUACUCUUACUGGCAUUGGAGUCACACAAAGCCUUUUCUGACCAGCGAGGAAUGAAACUAGAGUCAUUAGCAGAAGGAAAUCUGGGAGAUCCACAAAUCCAUGGAAAUGAAGCGAUACGGUCAAAAUUAGCCACUGAGUCAAAAAAGAGAUCACGAGGUAAACUGGAAAAUUCUUGGAGAUUAAUUAAAAUAAAGGCACAGCGAACCAGAGCAUGUGAGGUGCAGGCAAUGCAGCGAUUGCAGUCAUGGAUGGCUGCCCGUGGCAGUAUCGCAGGAGUCCCAUCAACAGCAAGGCUACAGCCUUGAGAAACUACCCCGGGGUGGUGGGGACAGCAAACGGGACAGAAACAAGCAGAACAAAGGGACAGUCAUAGUAGAGUGAAAAAAAUAAUGGAAAAAUAAGAGAAAAAAAAUGAAAGAAAAAUUGUGUUCUUUAACUAGAAAAAAAAUUAAGGGGCCGGCGCCGCAGCUCACUAGGCUAAUCCUCUGCCUUGCAGCGCCGGCACACCGGGUUCUAGUCCCGGUCGGGGCACCGCAUUCUGUCCCGGUUGCCCCUCUUCCAGGCCAGCUCUCUGCCAUGGCCCGGGAGGGCAGUGGAGGAUGGCCCAAGUGCUUGGGCCCUGCACCCCAUGGGAGACCAGGAGAAGCACCUGGCUCCUGCCAUCGGAUCAGCGUGGUGCGCCAGCCACAGCGCACCUACCGUGGCGGCCAUUGGAGGGUGAACCAACGGCAAAAGGAAGACCUUUCUCUCUGUCUCUCUCUCUCUCACUGUCCACUCUGCCUGUCAAAAAAAAAAAAAAAAUUAAGGGACAUCAGUGACUAAAAUCAGGAAAGAAAGACUGUUACCAAACCUACAGAAAUUAAAGAACUGUGGGGCCUGGGGGUGCUGUGGUGCAGCAGGUUGGGAUUCCAGCAUUCCAUGUCAGAGUGCUUGAUUAGACUGCUGGCCACUCCACUUCUGACCUCGCCUCGUGCUGUGUACCCUGGGAGGCAGAAGAUGAUGGCUCAACACCUGGGUCCCUGCCAUCCGUGUGGGAGACCUGGGAGGCAGAAGAUGAUGGCACAAUAGCAGGUCCCUGCCGUCCGUGUGGGAGACCUGGAUGGAGUUCUGAGCUCCGGGUAUUAGCAUGGCCCAGCCCUGGCUGUUGGCAUUUGGGAAGUGGAAGGGCUCUCUCUCCCCUCUCCUCAUUUCAAAUAAAUGAAAAUAAAUAUUUUAAAAAGAAUUAAAUGGGAAUUCAUAUGGUCACAAGUUAGAGAACCUAAAUGACAUUGACAAAGUCAAAAACUCACAUACUACCAAAAGUGACUCAAGAAGAAAUGAAAAUUUGAAAUACAAACAAGAGGUUGGAUUAGUAAUCAAAAAACUUUGCACAAAGAAAACCCAGGAACAUGUUACUGGUGAAUUCUACCACACAUAUAAAUGAUAAUCAACACCUGUUCACAAAGCAUUCCAAAGACUUAGAGAAGGAAGCACUUCCCAACUCGUGCUCUGCGGCCAGUACUACCCGUUUACCAAAACCAGAUCAAGAAGAGAGAACUGUAGGUCAAUUCUCCUUAACAUAGAUGCCAAAAUCCUUAACUGAAUCCAGCAAAGGAUUGUACACCACAGCCCACGGAGGCAUCUCAGGAAUACAAAACCUAUAUCAUCUCAAUAAAUGUGGGAAAGGCACUUCAUGUCUGAUAAAACCCAACCCCCUUUUUGAUGAAAACAUUAAAAAACAAAACAAAAAAACCCUUUCUCAACCUGAUAAAGAAUAUCUGAAAAACUCAUAGUUAGUGUAUUGGUGGCAAAAUGCUAUCAACUUUCCUCACUGAUCAGGAGUAAGACAAAGCUGUCAUCCCUCAGUGCUCUUCAGCUUGGUUCCAGCCAGGGCAGUGGGCAGAGGGAAGGAGUUACAGGUACUCAGACUGGAAAGGAAGAAGUAAACCUUUCCAGAUGACAUGAUCUGUGUGUAUACAAUGUUAAGGGAUACACACAACUCACUAGAGCUAAUAAAUGCAUCAGGGUUGUAGGAUUUAGGAUUAAAACACAAAAAUCAAUUGAUUUUUAUAUAUUGGCAAUGAACAGAUUUUCCAAAAAGGAAAUUAAGAAAAUAUAUCCAUUUAUAGUAGCAUCAAAAGGAAUAAAAUACUUAGGGAUAAAUUUCAAAAAAAAUAGGUCAACACUUAGUUAAAACAUCAGUGGAAAAAAUAAAGUGGAGACAAAUAAAGUGGAGACAAAUCUAUUUUGAUGGGCAGAGUUAGUGAGAGAGAGAGAGGGAGGGCAGUGUCUUAACAGUAGUUCGUUAGCUACGACACCAAAAGCACAAACACCCAAAGGGAAAAAAUAGGCAAGUCAUACUUCAUCAAAUGGUAAACCUGGUGCCUCCAAGGAUGCUACUGAGAGAGCAGGAGCACUCAAAGAAUGGGAGAGAUGGCUUCACAUUAUGGAUCUGGGCAGGAG